UUACGACCAAAAUCAUGUUGAAACAUCUGUUCGUGUACGAUCACCGAAGUUAAGUAACGUUGACUCUGGUCAGUACCUAGAUGGGUGACCGCUUGGUAAUACAAGGUGCUGUAAG